rnacentral:rRNA from 1 species
CCUACGGUGAGCAGCAGUGAGGAAUAUUGGUCAAUGUGCGGGAGCCUGAACCAGCCAAGCCGCGUGAGGGAAGAAGGUACAGCGUAUCGUAAACCUCUUUUGUCAGGGCACAAAGGCGGGGACUAGUCCCCGGAUGAGGGUACCUGAAGAAAAAGCAUCGGCUAACUCCGUGCCAGCAGCCACGGUAAUACGGAGGAUGCGAGCGUUAUCCGGAUUUAUUGGGUUUAAAGGGUGAGCAGGCGGCCUGUUAAGUCAGCGGUAAAAUCCCGGGGCUCAACCCCGGCGAGCCUUUGAGACUGGCGGGCUUGAGUUGGAGAGAAGGAAGCGGAAUGCGCGGUGUAGCGGUGAAAUGCUUAGAUAUCGGGCAGAACCCCGAUUGCGAAGGCAGCGUACCGUGCCGCCACUGACGCUGAGGCACGAAAGCGCGGGGAUCGAACAGGAUUAGAUACCCCAGUAGUC